AGAGUUUGAUCAUGGCUCAGGACAAACGCUGGCGGCGUGCCUAAAACAUGCAAGUCGUACGGUCCUUCGGGACAGUGGCGAACGGCUGAGUAACACGUGGGCAACCUACCCUCGAGUGGGGGAUAACCCUCCGAAAGGAGGGCUAAUACCGCGUACGUUCACCGGACCUCGGUUCGGUGAGGAAAGCAGUAAUGCGCUCGAGGAUGGGCCUGCGUCCGAUUAGCUAGUUGGUGAGGUAACGGCCCACCAAGGCUUCGAUCGGUAGCUGGUCUGAGAGGAUGAUCAGCCAGACUGGGACUGUGACACGGCCCAGACUCCUACGGGAGGCAGCAGUUAGGAAUUUUGGGCAAUGGGCGCAAGCCUGACCCAGCAACGCCGCGUGGGUGACGAAGGCCUUCGGGUCGUAAAGCCCUUUUCCACGGGAAGAUAAUGACGGUACCGUGGGAAUAAGCCCCGGCUAACUACGUGCCAGCAGCCGCGGUAAUACGUAGGGGGCGAGCGUUGUCCGGAUUUACUGGGCGUAAAACGCUUGUAGGUGGCCACGCCAAGUCGGAUGUGAAAUCUCCUGGCUUAACUGGGAGGGGUCAUUCGAUACUGGCGGGCUCGAGGCAGGUAGGGGGAAGCGGAAUUCCCGGUGUAGUGGUGGAAUGCGUAGAUAUCGGGAGGAACACCAGUGGCGAAGGCGGCUCCCUGGACCUGUUCUGACACUGAGGAGCGAAAGCGUGGGGAGCGAUCCGGAUUAGAUACCCGGGUAGUCCACGCCGUAAACGGUGGGCACUAGGUGUCGGGGGUAUCGACCCCUCCGUGCCGCAGCUAACGCACUAAGUGCCCUGCCUGGGGAGUACGGCCGCAAGGCUAAAACUCAAAUGAAUUGACGG
rnacentral:rRNA from 1 species